AUGAAAUACCAUGCGCCAGAGUACGAAUCCAGUGACGACAGCCAUGGCGCCGGCGACCAAGGGAAGACGACCGGCGAUUGCCACCCACAGCUGAGCGACGAAAGAACCGAGCUGUUGGAGCUGCAGUGGCGGGACGGCUGCCCCGUGGAGCAGCCCGUUCUCGAUCAGCGGAGCAGCGACAAUGACGACGCUUCUUCACCUGAAGAGAUGAAGAGCAAGGCCGAAGGUGGACCAAAGGACGCGGCGGCCGGAGGAGGGGAGGCGGUGGAGGAAUGGUGGAGGCUGUGGCGAGAGGGGGAAAGUGGUGGCUGUGCAGCCGGCGCUGCGGCUGCGCACGGCUACCCGCAGGUCGUUGAUGAUUUGUCGUCGGUGAAUGCCAAGGCCGCAACUGCGAGCGUUGGACCGAGGCAGCGGAUGGGCACCACGGCCGACGAGGAGACGGCGGACGAGCUGUGGAGGACGUGGAGGGAAGGCCAUGGCAGCUCUGCACCUCAGGAUUCUUCGUGCAAGAACUCUAUGUUGAAAGAGGAAGACUCUGUAUUGCCAUGCUCGGCGGCGUCGAGAGGCAGCGGUGGUGCACAAAGGCACUCAUCUGAACAGAUUGAUGAGCAAUGCUCUACACUGGACCAUGCCAUAGAGUACAUGAAGUCACUCCAGCAACAGAUCCAGGUGCUAUCCUGCGGCGGCUACGGCAUGCAGCAGCUGCUCUUCCCGUGCACCUGCAGCCAGGCUCCCCAUACUGUUGUAACUGCGGCGCCCGCGCCCGCGCCGGCAGCACCACUGGGCUCAGCGGUGCCGCCACCACCACCACAAGCCGCCGCCGCCACGCCGUUCUGCCCAACACUACCACUACCACCACAGCCAGCAGCGGUUGUACCGGAUCUGAACCCAGUGAUGCUGGGACCGCCGGGCGCCUUGAGCAUCAGUGGAUUGGUCCGCAUGAACGCCGGGGUGGCAGAUGAGAUGGCGAGCAACACGUCUGAGAUCCCGUUUGGUGGCUGCCCGCGCUGCAGCUUUCGUCGUCGUGCAGGAUAUUGCUAG
rnacentral:rRNA from 1 species